UUGACUGUACUUCUACAGGAUCUUUUCUGUAGGAAUACAUAAACUCGACUUUUUUGAGUCAAUCUGACCUUUGAGGUUAACCAAGAUGAAGACUCUGUAGUCACAUAUCUUGAGCAUGAUAUCGAACUGGAAACAUGCUUCGCUGUAGGUUUCCUCGUUCAUAGAUGAUUGCUGCAUUCCUUACCAGCCAUGGUUUGUGAAUGGGGGAUUUGUGAACAUGCAGAUUGGU
rfam:Naegleria gruberi genomic scaffold NAEGRscaffold_52, whole genome shotgun sequence.